AGAGUUUGAUCCUGGCUCAGGACGAACGCUGGCGGCGUGCUUAACACAUGCAAGUCGAACGGAGCACCCUUGAUUGAGGUUUCGGCCAAAUGAUAGGAAUGCUUAGUGGCGGACUGGUGAGUAACGCGUGAGGAACCUGCCUUUCAGAGGGGGACAACAGUUGGAAACGACUGCUAAUACCGCAUGACGCAUUUUGAUCGCAUGGUCGAAAUGCCAAAGAUUUAUCGCUGAAAGAUGGCCUCGCGUCUGAUUAGCUAGUUGGUGAGGUAACGGCCCACCAAGGCGACGAUCAGCAGCCGGACUGAGAGGUUGACCGGCCACAUUGGGACUGAGAUACGGCCCAGACUCCUACGGGAGGCAGCAGUGGGGAAUAUUGGGCAAUGGGCGCAAGCCUGACCCAGCAACGCCGCGUGAAGGAAGAAGGCUUUCGGGUUGUAAACUUCUUUUAAGUGGGAAGAGUAGAAGACGGUACCACUUGAAUAAGCCACGGCCAACUACGUGCCAGCAGCCGCGGUAAUACGUAGGUGGCAAGCGUUGUCCGGAAUUAUUGGGCGUAAAGGGAGCGCAGGCGGGAAACUAAGCGGAUCUUAAAAGUGCGGGGCUCAACCCCGUGAUGGGGUCCGAACUGGUUUUCUUGAGUGCAGGAGAGGAAAGCGGAAUUCCCAGUGUAGCGGUGAAAUGCGUAGAUAUUGGGAAGAACACCAGUGGCGAAGGCGGCUUUCUGGACUGUAACUGACGCUGAGGCUCGAAAGCUAGGGUAGCGAACGGGAUUAGAUACCCCGGUAGUCCUAGCCGUAAACGAUGGAUACUAGGUGUGGGAGGUAUCGACCCCUUCCGUGCCGGAGUUAACGCAAUAAGUAAUCCACCUGGGGAGUACGACCGCAAGGUUGAAACUCAAAGGAAUUGACGGGGGCCCGCACAAGCAGUGGAGUAUGUGGUUUAAUUCGACGCAACGCGAAGAACCUUACCAAGUCUUGACAUCCUGCGACGGACAUAGAAAUAUGUUUUUCCUUCGGGACGCAGAGACAGGUGGUGCAUGGUUGUCGUCAGCUCGUGUCGUGAGAUGUUGGGUUAAGUCCCGCAACGAGCGCAACCCUUAUGGUCAGUUACUACGCAAGAGGACUCUGGCCAGACUGCCGUUGACAAAACGGAGGAAGGUGGGGAUGACGUCAAAUCAUCAUGCCCUUUAUGACUUGGGCUACACACGUACUACAAUGGCGUUAAACAAAGAGAAGCAAGACCGCGAGGUGGAGCAAAACUCAGAAACAACGUCCCAGUUCGGACUGCAGGCUGCAACUCGCCUGCACGAAGUCGGAAUUGCUAGUAAUCGCAGAUCAGCAUGCUGCGGUGAAUACGUUCCCGGGCCUUGCACACACCGCCCGUCA
rnacentral:rRNA from 1 species